UAUGCCCCAUAUUGGUAUGAUGUCCCUGUUCCAACACAAGGUAAUUUUAAGCAUUAUAGACCAUUUAAGAAAUAUAGUAAAACAAGAUUAAAGUCACAUUUCAUUCAUGGACCAAAAAGCAUAAUUCUUUAAUUUCCCUUUACUUAUGUCAACACAAACACCACCGUUAAUAAUCCGUCAAUUAACGAAACAAUUUCAAUACUCAAACCCGAUCAUUCCUCUCGAAUGUCGUUAGCCGAAUUAAUGUUUUUCUUUGGUUAAGCAUAACUAGUAGAAUGCUUUCAUAUACUUAGUAUAUACGAAACGUAGUAUACAUGACCAUAUUAGUUCUUCUUAAAACUAACUCAUAAACUCAAAUCCGACAAUCCUCUUUGGAGGCCAUUAGUCGAAGUCAAUCAUUUCUUCAUCUUGCUAUCCACUAGGGUGCCAUUAACCGUUUCUUCUUCCUUUUUUUUUCUCUUCUUCUUCUUCCUCCUUUUCUUUUCUUUUUUCAUCACGGUCAUCCCUUAGGAUGCAAUUAACUGAAGCUAGUCAUUUCUUCAUCCUGAUUAUCCAUUUAGAAUGCUAUUAGCCGAAGGUAGUAAUUUCAUUAUCCCGAUUAUCCAUUUAGGAUGUCAUCAGUCGUAAUUAAUCAUUUGUUCACCUUGACUAUCCACCUAGGAUGUUAUUAGCCGAAGCUAGUAAUUCAUACAUCUCGGUUAUCCAUUUAGGAUGCCAUAUACCAAAGUUAAUCAUUUAUUCAUUCUGGUAAUUCAUAUAUGGUGCCAUUACCAUAGCAAUUCAUUUACUCAUUCUGGUAAUUCAUCUAUGGUGUCAUUACCAUAGUUAAAUUUGCCAUUUACCAAAGCUAAUCAUUUAUUCAUUUUGGUAAUACAUCUAUGGUGCCAUUACCAUAGCUAAUCAUUUAUUCAGCUCGAUGAUCCCUUUAGGAUGCCAUUUAUCGAAUGUAAAUCAUUUAUUCGUUUUGGUAAUUCAUCUAUGGUGUCAUUACCAUAGUUAGUCAUUUAUUAAUCUCGAUGACCAUUUAUCGAAUGUAAAUCAUUUAUUCGUUUUGGUAAUUCAUCUAUGGUGUCAUUACCAUAGUUAGUCAUUUAUUAAUCUCGAUGAUCCCUUCAGGAUGCCAUUUAUCAAAUGUACAUCAUUUAUUCCUUUUGGUAAUUCAUCUAUGGUGUCAUUACCAUAGCUAAUCAUUCACUAAUCUCGAUGAUCCCUUUAGGAUGCCAUUUAUCGAAUGUAAAUCAUUUAUUCAUUUUGGUAAUUCAUUUAUGGUGUCAUUACCAUGGUUAGUCAUUUAUUAAUCUGAUAAUUCAUCUAUGGUGUCAUUACCAUAGUUAAUCGUUAUCCAUUUAGUACGCUACUUACCAAAACUAAGCAUUUAUUCAUCCCAAUCAUACUUUGGAUGCCCAUAGUCAGAGCUAAUCAAUUGUUUACCCCUGUCAUCCCUUCGGAUGUCAUUAGGCAAAACUAAUUAAUCGUUUGUUCCGGUCAUCCACUCGGAUGCCAUUAGCCGAAGCUAAUCAAUAGUUUGUUCCGGUCAUCCACUCGGAUGCCAUUAGCCGAAGCUAUCAAUCGUUUGUUCCGGUCAUCCACUCGGAUGCCAUUAGCUGAAGCUAAUCAUUGU